GUCUAUUUUUAAACUGUUUGGUGUCACUCACUGCUCUAUGUUUUACACCCCAUUCCACAGGGGGCAGGGUGAACUGAGCAUGCUCAGAUGUCUAUGGAAAGAACAAGGUCUAUUCUAUCAACACGA